UACGUAGGGGGCAAGCGUUGUUCGGAAUCAUUGGGCGUAAAGGGCGCGUAGGUGGUUCUGUAUGUCUACCGUGAAAGCGUACGGCUCAACCGUAUUUUGUCGGUGGAAACUGCAGGACUUGAGGCUGGGAGGGGCUGGUGGAAUUCCCUGUGUAGCGGUGAAAUGCGUAGAGAUGGGGGAGAACACUCGUGGCGAAGGCGGCCAGCUAGACCAGUUCUGACACUGAGGCACGAAAGCUAGGGGAGCAAACAGG
rnacentral:rRNA from 1 species